rnacentral:rRNA from 1 species
UACGAAGGGGGCUAGCGUUGCUCGGAAUUACUGGGCGUAAAGCGCACGUAGGCGGCUUCUUAAGUCGGUGGUGAAAUCCUGGAGCUCAACUCCAGAACUGCCUUCGAUACUGGGAAGCUCGAGUCCGGGAGAGGUGAGUGGAACUGCGAGUGUAGAGGUGAAAUUCGUAGAUAUUCGCAAGAACACCAGUGACGAAGGCGGCUCACUGGCCCGGUACUGACGCUGAGGUGCGAAAGCGUGGGGAGCAAACAGG